rnacentral:rRNA from 1 species
GACGAACGCUGGCGGCGUGCCUAACACAUGCAAGUCGAACGAGUCCAGGCUUUCGGGCCUGAGGCGAGUGGCGGACGGGUGAGUAACACGUGAGCAAUCUGUCCCUGUGUGGGGGACAACCCGGGGAAACCUGGGCUAAUACCGCAUGGUCAGGCACUUCAUAGGAAGAGCCUGGGAAAGAGGCCCUCUUUACAAUGGUCUCAUGCAGGGAGGAGCUCGCGGGCAUCAGCUAGUUGGUAGUGGUAACGGCCUACCAAGGCGACGACGGCUACGGGGUCUGAGAGGACGACCCCGCACAUUGG